rnacentral:lncRNA from 1 species
AUUCCCAGCAAGGUCAACUACACUCCACCCAAGCAACCCCACUACAACCAGGACAAGACAUCAGAGUUUGUUAUCAAACUUCUCCAAUUCCUAGUUCCCUUGAUAAUCUUGGGAGUGGCUGUUGGCAUCCGCUUCUAUACCAAAUCAGCUUAAGGAUUGAGAGCUCAUGCUGAGAUGGAGAAGAGAUCAACAAUAAGGUUUAUUAUGUUAGUGAACAAUGACCUCUUGUUAUUUCUUUUCAUCUGGAACUGUUACAUAUCAAGGGGUGUUAGGACAUUUGACUUGUCUCUGGUAACGAGUAUGCGCUUGUUCCCUUGCCAAUAUUUUUUUCAUUGUGAGAUCUGAAUUACCUUUCUUCAUCCUCAAUAUGCCAUUGAUAAAAGAACUUCCUUAUUAUAAGUUGGUGCUUCUUGGUGAUUUGAUUUGCCUUCAUCACAAGGACCUUAGACCUAUGACAAUUAAUCAAGAAAUGGCAUGCAGCCACAUAAGUAAUUAACAGCUGCUUAUGCUUGGGGGUUUGCUUGUGAGAUCACUGUUUCUUUUUGGGCUUACCCCUUAUGUUUUGCUUGUUUGCUUCUGUUAUUGAAAUCACAUGGUAUAUUAGUUAUUAGAUGGUGUAGUUUGAAACAAUAGCC